CUACGUGCCAGCAGCCGCGGUAAUACGGAAGGUCCGGGCGUUAUCCGGAUUCAUUGGGUUUAAAGGGAGCGUAGGCCGUGGAUUAAGCGUGUUGUGAAAUGUAGGCGCUCAACGUCUGACUUGCAGCGCGAACUGGUCCACUUGAGUGUGCGCGACGCAGGCGGAAUUCGUGGUGUAGCGGUGAAAUGCUUAGAUAUCACGAGGAACCCCGAUUGCGAAGGCAGCUUGCGGGAGCACCACUGACGCUGAGGCUCGAAGGUGCGGGUAUCGAACAGGAUUAGAUACCCUGGUAGUCCGCACGGUAAACGAUGGAUGCCCGUUCUCCGGCCUUUUGGUCGGGGGACCGAGCGAAAGCAUUGAGCAUCCCACCUGGGGAGUACGCCGGCAACGGUGAAACUCAAAGGAAUUGACGGGGGCCCGCACAAGCGGAGGAACAUGUGGUUUAAUUCGAUGAUACGCGAGGAACCUUACCCGGGCUUGAA
rnacentral:rRNA from 1 species